UGAAACAAAGCUGCUGGACGAAACUUCUC
rnacentral:sRNA from 1 species